UACAUAGGUGGCAAGCGUUAUCCGGAUUUAUUGGGCGUAAAGCGUGCGUAGGCGGCUAAUUAAGUCGGAUGUGAAAUCCCCGAGCUCAACUUGGGAAUUGCAUUCGAUACUGGUUAGCUAGAGUAUGGGGGAGGAUGGUAGAAUUCCAGGUGUAGCGGCGAAAUGCGUAGAGAUCUGGAGGAAUACCGAUGGCGAAGGCAGCCAUCUGGCCUAAUACUGACGCUGAGGUACGAAAGCAUGGGGAGCAAACAGG
rnacentral:rRNA from 1 species